CCAGCUUGCCGAGGACGUGGACGAGACGCAGCACGGCGACAUACGGCGACAAAGUCAAGUGUCAAGAAGACGCUUUGAGCUGCCCCCCGUGGAUCAAGCAGUUAUAGGUGACUGGCCAUGGAUGACACAAUAACAGUU